GGGAAGGAGUUGCCUGCUUCUCCCAUGCGCAAGCCUCUACAAUCGAAUCACAAUACCAGAUCUGACGUUACACAAAAAGGCAGCGCAAAGGAUCAGUCAGGCUUGAGGCAUAUGACGACAUUCAGUUCUUUCGACGGCCCUAAAGGGCGUGAAAUCCAAAAGGUUCCUGUCGGCACAAAGAGCAUGCUAACAGCUCUGUUUAUCAAGCACAAGUCAGUCAAGAUGAAAAAGAUCUCAGCCAGAUGAUCCUCUUUUGCUCAUGUAAUGCCAAGGGAUGUAACUGUAUGUAGAGUAAACUCGUUUGUUCUUUUCAUCUCAGAAUCUGUAACAUGUUAUCCUGCUGAUGAUCUAAAUGUAAGAUUUCAUAACAGAAUA